rnacentral:tRNA from 1 species
ACAUUGAUGGUUCAGUGGCAGAAUUCUUACCCUCCAUGUGGAAUACCCAGGUUCAUUUCCUGGCCUAUGUA